GGGGGGGGGGGGGGGGGGGCGGGGCGGAGGGGGGGCGGGCGGGGGAGCGCAGCUUGCGGGGUGGAUUGGUGGCGAACGGGUGAGUAACACGUGAGUAACCUGCCCUUAACUCUGGGAUAAGCCGGGGAAACUAGGUCUAAUACCGGAUAGGAGCGCCUACCGCAGGGGGGGUGUUGGAAAGAUUUAUCGGUUUUGGAUGGACUCGCGGCCUAUCCGCUUGUUGGUGAGGUAAUGGCUCACCAAGGCGACGACGGGUAGCCGGCCUGAGAGGGUGACCGGCCACACUGGGACUGAGACACGGCCCAGACUCCUACGGGAGGCAGCAGUGGGGAAUAUUGCACAAUGGGCGAAAGCCUGAUGCAGCGACGCCGCGUGAGGGAUGACGGCCUUCGGGUUGUAAACCUCUUUCAGUAGGGAAGAAGCGAAAGUGACGGUACCUGCAGAAGAAGCACCGGCUAACUACGUG
rnacentral:rRNA from 1 species